rnacentral:rRNA from 1 species
AGAGAUGCUUAGUGCCUUCGGGAACUCUGAGACAGGUGCUGCAUGGCUGUCGUCAGCUCGUGUUGUGAAAUGUUGGGUUAAGUCCCGCAACGAGCGCAACCCUUAUCCUUUGUUGCCAGCACGUAAUGGUGGGAACUCAAAGGAGACUGCCGGUGAUAAACCGGAGGAAGGUGGGGAUGACGUCAAGUCAUCAUGGCCCUUACGAGUAGGGCUACACACGUGCUACAAUGGCGCAUACAAAGAGAAGCGACCUCGCGAGAGCAAGCGGACCUCAUAAAGUGCGUCGUAGUCCGGAUUGGAGUCUGCAACUCGACUCCAUGAAGUCGGAAUCGCUAGUAAUCGUAAAUCAGAAUGUUACGGUGAAUACGUUCCCGGGCCUUGUACACACCGCCCGUCACACCAUGGGAGUGGGUUGCAAAAGAAGUAGAUAGCUUAACCUUCGGGAGGGCGUUUACCACUUUGUGAUUCAUGACUGGGGUGAAGUCGUAACAAGGUAAGCGUAGUGCU